rnacentral:rRNA from 1 species
UACAGAGGUCUCAAGCGUUGUUCGGAUUCAUUGGGCGUAAAGGGUGCGUAGGCGGCGCGGUAAGUCGGGUGUGAAAUCUCGGGGCUUAACUCCGAAACUGCAUUCGAUACUGCCGUGCUUGAGGACUGGAGAGGAGACUGGAAUCUACGGUGUAGCGGUGAAAUGCGUAGAUAUCGUAAGGAAGACCAGUGGCGAAGGCGGGUCUCUGGACAGUUCCUGACGCUGAGGCACGAAGGUCAGGGGAGCAAACGGG